UACGUAGGGUGCAAGCGUUGUUCGGAUUUACUGGGCGUAAAGGGCGCGUAGGCGGCCACCGCAAGUCGACUGUGAAAUCUCCGGGCUUAACCCGGAAAGGUCAGCCGAUACUGCGGGGCUAGAGUGCAGAAGGGGCAACUGGAAUUCUCGGUGUAGCGGUGAAAUGCGUAGAUAUCUGGAGGAAUACCGGUGGCGAAGGCGGCAUCCUGGACCGGCAUUGACGCUGAGGAGCGAAAGCUAGGGGAGCAAACGGG
rnacentral:rRNA from 1 species